rnacentral:rRNA from 1 species
CGAACGGGUGAGUAACGCGUAGGUAACCUCGCCUCGUAGCGGGGGAUAACUAUUGGAAACGAUAGCUAAUACCGCAUAACAAUGGAUGACACAUGUCAUUUAUUUGAAAGGGGCAAUCGUUCCACUACAAGAUGGACCUGCGUUGUAUUAGCUAGUAGGUGAGGUAAUGGCUCACCUAGGCGACGAUACAUAGCCGACCUGAGAGGGUGAUCGGCCACACUGGGACUGAGACACGGCCCAGACUCCUACGGGAGGCAGCAGUAGGGAAUCUUCGGCAAUGGGGGCAACCCUGACCGAGCAACGCCGCGUGAGUGAAGAAGGUUUUCGGAUCGUAAAGCUCUGUUGUAAGUCAAGAACGGGUGUGAGAGUGGAAAGUUCACACUGUGACGGUAGCUUACCAGAAAGGGACGGCUAACUACGUGCCAGCAGCCGCGGUAAUACGUAGGUCCCGAGCGUUGUCCGGAUUUAUUGGGCGUAAAGCGAGCGCAGGCGGUUUGAUAAGUCUGAAGUUAAAGGCUGUGGCUCAACCAUAGUUCGCUUUGGAAACUGUCAAACUUGAGUGCAGAAGGGGAGAGUGGAAUUCCAUGUGUAGCGGUGAAAUGCGUAGAUAUAUGGAGGAACACCGGUGGCGAAAGCGGCUCUCUGGUCUGUAACUGACGCUU